UGGGGAAUAUUGGACAAUGGGCGCAAGCCUGAUCCAGCAAUGCCGCGUGUGUGAAGAAGGCCUUCGGGUUGUAAAGCACUUUUAUCAGGAGCGAAACGCUGUCGGCUAAUACCCGGCGGAACUGACGGUACCUGAGGAAUAAGCACCGGCUAACUUCGUGCCAGCAGCCGCGGUAAUACGAAGGGUGCAAGCGUUAAUCGGAAUUACUGGGCGUAAAGCGAUGCGUAGGCGGUUUCUUAAGUCUGCUGUGAAAUCCCCGGGCUCAACCUGGGAAUGGCAGUGGAUACUGGGAGGCUAGAGUGUGUCAGAGGGUGGUGGAAUUCCCGGUGUAGCGGUGAAAUGCGUAGAGAUCGGGAGGAACAUCAGUGGCGAAGGCGGCCACCUGGGACAACACUGACGCUGAGGCACGAAAGCGUGGGGAGCAAACAGGAUUAGAUACCCUGGUAGUCCACGCCCUAAACGAUGCGAACUGGAUGUUGGUCUCAACUCGGAGAUCAGUGUCGAAGCUAACGCGUUAAGUUCGCCGCCUGGGGAGUACGGUCGCAAGACUGAAACUCAAAUGAAUUGACGGGGUCAUAGCUGUUUCCUG
rnacentral:rRNA from 1 species